UAGGGAAUCUUCCGCAAUGGACGCAAGUCUGACGGAGCAACGCCGCGUGAGUGAUGACGGUCUUCGGAUUGUAAAGCUCUGUUAAUCGGGACGAAUGGUUUAUGUGCAAAUAGUGCAUAGACAUGACGGUACCGGAAUAGAAAGCCACGGCUAACUACGUGCCAGCAGCCGCGGUAAUACGUAGGUGGCAAGCGUUGUCCGGAAUUAUUGGGCGUAAAGCGCGCGCAGGGGGACUAGCCAGUCAGUCUUAAAAGUUCGGGGCUUAACCCCGUGAUGGGAUUGAAACUACUAGUCUAGAGUAUCGGAGAGGAAAGUGGAAUUCCUAGUGUAGCGGUGAAAUGCGUAGAUAUUAGGAAGAACACCAGUGGCGAAGGCGACUUUCUGGACGAACACUGACGCUGAGGCGCGAAAGCCAGGGGAGCGAACGGG
rnacentral:rRNA from 1 species